rnacentral:lncRNA from 1 species
GCUGCACAGAGGUGGCACAGUUGUGCCAGAGGUAGCAGGGACAGGAGGGCUGGCAAGGGAGGGUCCAGGGCUAGGGGAUUCGGAGUGGCUUCAGGCGGACCACGUGGCUACCUUUUUUCCAGGGCCAGACUUUGGCAGCGUGUAAGGUCUGAGGACAGGGGCACCGGAGGCCGAGGAUGAGAGGCCAGUGCCUGUUUCCAGGCAGCCAGGGCCUCAGAAACUCCGGCCGGAGCACUCACCCGUCGGUGGAGGCCGUUACCAGGGCCACCUUAUUUGCGAGCGGGUCCCGGCGGGUCAUCCCGGAGCUGGCCAUCCGCACCGAAUUCCAAGCCCGGGCACAGAGGCCUAGCAGCCCCGCCUUGUGCAUGGAUCAGACCAGCAAGUGCCACUUCGGAUAAACCCUUUGGACUCCUAACUCCAAUCAGGUGUCUGCUUUGUUGAGGACUCACAGACACAGUCUCCUUUCUUCAAGAUCUUUACAAUGCAAGACCUCACUAACACACAGGGAUGGUCUCCCAGAGGGUCUGUGCUGUUCCUUCACUCAGAACAUCAAGAUGCACUGAAGUAAGGAUCCUCUAUUCUACAGUUCCUGCUAGCUGAGCUAUUCCAUGGGGGCUUCAGCAGGAAAUUCCAAGGUUGGCUUUGACAAGCUAAGGCCGGCUGGUGGAGCACAUCGAGUUCUGGAGGUUCAUGUGUGUUUUCAUGAAGAUCUGUCUGCCCGUAGCAGAUAAAGAGUUGUUGCCCCACUCCUCCUGGGGUCUUCUAUUUUCCUGGGAGGAAUUUCUGGAUUAACUGAACACACACACACACACACACACCCUUUUGAAGCAUCAACAGUAAUUCUGAGUUCUUAGGGACAAUGCAGAUUAAAUCCACAAUAAGAAAGACAACUAUGGCCAGGUGUGGUGGCUCACGCCUGUAAUCCCAGAACUUUGGGAGGCUGAGGCGGAUGGAUCACCUGAGGUCAGGAGUUAGAGACCAACCUGACCAACAUGGAGAAACCCCGUUUCUACUAAAAAUGCAAAAUUAGCCGGGCAUGGUGGCAGGCGCCUGUAAUCCCAAAUACUCGGGAGGCUGAGGCAGGAGAAUCACUUAAACCCGGGAGGCAGAGGUUGCAGUGAGCCAAGAUCGCGCCAUUGCACUCCAGCCUGGGCAAGAAGAGCAAAACUCCAUCUCAAAAAAAAAAAAAGAGUACUAUUGAUCCAGAGGUGACCAGACUAGCCUCACUGGAGAUAAUAGGUGACAUUAUUAUGCAAAGUGGUUUCAGUUCCCUUGUCUUGUUUUUGGAAUAGUAUAAGAGGCCUACAAUACGAAUAAAUAAGGCCCAUCACAAGCCUCACCAAAGGACAAAACUAAUCCACUUCUGAAGAAGGCUCUUUGUUGGGCCAGAUCAAAUCCUUGGACAGAACUGUACUCUUAAUCUCUGUAGUGAAAGUGGGGGGUAGUUUAAGAAUUUAUUAACCUUCUACCUUGAGCAAUCCCUCAGAAGUAAGAGGUGUCAGGCCUCUGAGCCGAAGCUCAGCCAUUGUAACCCCUGUGACCUGCACAUAUAUGUCCAGAUGGCCUGCAGGAGCCAAGAAGUCUGGGGCAGCUGAAAAACCACACAAGAAGUAAAACAGCCAGUUCCUGCCUUAACUGAUUAACCAACAUUACAACAUUCCACCAUUGUGACCUGUCCCUGUCCUACCUUAACUGAUCAAUCGACCUUGUGACAGUCUUCUUCUGGACAAUGGGUCUUAUCAUCUCCCCACCAUGUACCUUGUGACCCCCUCCUCUGCUAACAAUAGAUAACCACUUUUUACUGUAAUUUUCCAUUACCUACCCAACUCCUAUAAAGCAACCCCUUCCCCAUCUCCCUUCACUGACUCUGUUUUCAGACUCAGCCCACUUGCACUCAAGUGAAUAAACAGCCUUGUUGCUCACACAAAGCCUGUUGGUGGUCUCUUCACACAGAUGUGCUUGACAAAAGGGAAGGGUGGAUUUGUCCUUCUGGUUACAUAUGUUCUGCUCACUCAUUUUGAAUUUAAUUAAACAAGGAUUGCCCUUACCUUUUCAUACUUUGUAAGAAACCAUAAAUACUUAUGCACCAUGAUUUUUUUAAAGAAACACUUUUUAUUUUGAAGUAAUUAUAGUCUCAUAGGAAGUUGCAAAAGUAGUACAUAGAGUCCCUGAGUACUCUUCCCCCAGUGGUGACAACUGUAGUAUAAUAUCAAUUCUGGGAAAUUGACAUUGGUACAAUACCAAAUAUACUAUGCCUUUUUCUCUAAGGCAUGAUGUUGCAGUAGCAUCCUUGUACAUGUAGCUAGGAGAACUUGUACUAAGCCCAGAUAAAUAGUUGAAGUACAAGGGCAAGGAGUGUGUCUUUGAUAUUUUAAUAGAAAUCACCUAUUGCCCUCUAGAAAAGCUGUACCCUUUUCCAGUGGCAGAGAACCUUCCUGAAAGGCAGUCCUGUGUAAUGGUGUCCAUUUCAUCACACCCUUAAAACACUCAGCUUUAACAAACAUGCAGAUUUUUGCUGAUGUGGGAGAAAAUAUUAAUUAUUAAUGAUAUUAAGGUGAUUAUCUUUUCGUAUGUUUAUAGAUAUUUGUAUUUCUUUUUAAAUGAACUGCUCAUGACCUUUGUCUACU